GAAACUGCCUGAUGGAGGGGGAUAACUACUGGAAACGGUAGCUAAUACCGCAUAAUGUCGCAAGACCAAAGUGGGGGACCUUCGGGCCUCAUGCCAUCAGAUGUGCCCAGAUGGGAUUAGCUAGUAGGUGGGGUAACGGCUCACCUAGGCGACGAUCCCUAGCUGGUCUGAGAGGAUGACCAGCCACACUGGAACUGAGACACGGUCCAGACUCCUACGGGAGGCAGCAGUGGGGAAUAUUGCACAAUGGGCGCAAGCCUGAUGCAGCCAUGCCGCGUGUAUGAAGAAGGCCUUCGGGUUGUA
rnacentral:rRNA from 1 species